AACGCGAAGAACCUUACCUGGGCUCGAAGCGCAGUGGACCGGGGUAGAAAUAUCCCUUCCCCUUAAAAGGCUGCUGCGGAGGUGCUGCAUGGCUGUCGUCAGCUCGUGUCGUGAGAUGUUGGGUUAAGUCCCGCAACGAGCGCAACCCUUAUCCCUAGUUGCCAUCGGGUCAAGCCGGGCACUCUAGUGAAACUGCCUCGGAUAACGAGGAGGAAGGUGGGGAUGACGUCAAGUCCUCAUGGCCUUUAUGGGCUGGGCUACACACGUGCUACAAUGGCGGUGACAGAGGGAAGCAAAGAGGCAACUCUAAGCCAAUCUCAAAAAGCCGUCUCAGUUCGGAUUGUUCUCUGCAACUCGAGAGCAUGAAGCUGGAAUCGCUAGUAAUCGCGGAUCAGCACGCCGCGGUGAAUACGUUCCCGGGCCUUGUACACACCGCUAGUC
rnacentral:rRNA from 1 species